CCUACGGGAGGCUGUAGUAGGGAAUCUUCCACAAUGGGCGAAAGCCUGAUGGAGCAACGCCGCGUGGGUGAAGAAGGUCUUCUGAUCGUAAAACCCUGUUGUUAGAGAAGAAAGUGCGUGAGAGUAACUGUUCACGUUUCGACGGUAUCUAACCAGAAAGCCACGGCUAACUACGUGCCAGCAGCCGCGGUAAUACGUAGGUGGCAAGCGUUAUCCGGAUUUAUUGGGCGUAAAGGGAACGCAGGCGGUCUUUUAAGUCUGAUGUGAAAGCCUUCGGCUUAACCGGAGUAGUGCAUUGGAAACUGGGAGACUGGAGUGCAGAAGAGGAGAGUGGAACGCCAUGUGUAGCGGUGAAAUGCGUAGAUAUAUGGAAGAACACCAGUGGCGAAGGCGGCUCACUGAUCUGUAACUGACGCUGAGGUUCGAAAGCGUGGGUAGCAAACAGGAUUAGAUACCCUGGUAGUC
rnacentral:rRNA from 1 species